CCUACGGGUGGCAGCAGUAGAGAAUAUUCCUCAAUGGGGGAAACCCUGAAGCAGCAACGCCGCGUGGAGGAUGAAGGUUUUCGGAUUGUAAACUCCUUUUGUUAGAGAAGAUAAUGACGGUAUCUAACGAAUAAGCACCGGCUAACUCCGUGCCAGCAGCCGCGGUAAUACGGAGGGUGCAAGCGUUACUCGGAAGCACUGGGCGUAACGGGCGCGUAGGCUGGUUAGCAAGUCAGAUGUGAAAUCCUAUGGCUUAACCAUAGAACUGCAUUUGAAACUGUUAUUCUAGAGUAUGGGAGAGGUAGGUGGAAUUCUUGGUGUAGGAGUAAAAUCCGUAGAGAUCGAGAGGAAUACUCAUUGCGAAGGCGAGCUGCUAGAACAUAACUGACGCUGAUGCGCGAAAGCGUGGGGAGCAAACAGGAUUAGAUACCCUUGUAGUC
rnacentral:rRNA from 1 species